rnacentral:rRNA from 1 species
CGCAUAGUACCGUGAGGGAAAGGUGAAAAGAACCCCGGGAGGGGAGUGAAAUAGUACCUGAAACCGUAUGUCUACAAGCAGUCGAAGCGAAAGCGACGGCGUGCCUAUUGAAGAAUGAACCAACGAGUUAUCUGCACUAGCGAGGUUAAGUGGAAGACACGGAGCCGCAGCGAAAGCGAGUCUUAAGAGGGCGCUAGUUAGUGUAGGUAGACCCGAAACCGCAGUGAUCUACCCAUGUCCAGGUUGAAGCGCAGGUAAAAUUGCGUGGAGGACCGAACCGGUGAGCGUUGAAAAGCUUUCGGAUGAGAUGUGGGUAGGGGUGAAAUUCCAAUCGAACGCGGAGAUAGCUGGUUCUCCCCGAAAUAGCUUUAGGGCUAGCCUGAGGUAGUAAGUAUAGGCGGUAGAGCACUGAUCGGGCUAGGGGCCGUAAAGGUUACCGAACCCUGUCAAACUCCGAAUGGAUAUACUGUAGAGCCUUGGAGUCAGACUACGAGUGAUAAGAUCCGUGGUCAAAAGGGAAACAGCCCAGACCACCAGCUAAGGUCCCCAAUGUCGUACUAAGUGGAAAAGGAUGUGGGGUUUCAUAAACAACCAGGAUGUUGGCUCAGAAGCAGCCACCAUUUAAAGAGUGCGUAAUAGCUCACUGGUCGAGAGACCCUGCGCCGAAGAUUCCCGGGGCUAAAGUACGAAACCGAAGCUGUGGCUGUAUACGUAAAGUAUACGGGGUAGGGGAGCGUUCCCAUAGGGUAGAAGUCGAACUGGAAGGUUCGGUGGACUUGUGGGAAGUGAGAAUGUUGGUAUGAGUAGCGAAAAGAAAGGUGAGAAUCCUUUCCACCGAAAGCAUAAGGAUUCCUGAGCAACGAUCGUCGUCUCAGGGUAAGUCGGGACCUAAUCCGAGGCAGAGAGCGUAGGAGAUGGACAACUGGUUGAUAUUCCAGUACCGGUAGUAAUUGUUUGAGCAAUGGAGUGACACAGAAGGGCAGGCAAGCAUGCGAAUGGAAGAGCAUGUGUAAGCGUGUAGGGUGGUGCAUAGGCAAAUCCGUGCACUGAAAGCCUGAGGCGUGAUGCGGAGUGAGCAGAGAUGCGAGCGAAGUUGUUGACCCCACACUGUCGAGAAAAGCUUCUAGUGAGAGAGCUACCGCCCGUACCGUAAACCGACACAGGUAUGCGGGGAGAGAAUCCUAAGGUGCGCGGGAGAACCCUCGUUAAGGAACUCGGCAAAAUGUACCCGUAACUUCGGGAUAAGGGUAGCCACUGUUGUGAAGUCCCACGCGGAUGGAGCAUAGAGUGGUCGCAGAGAAGAGGCCCAAGCGACUGUUUACCAUAAACACAGGUGCCUGCUAAAGCGAAAGCUGACGUAUAGGUGCUGACACCUGCCCAGUGCCGGAAGGUUAAGGAAGGAUGUUCGGAUUAGUCCAAAGCAUUCGACUGAAGCCCCGGUGAACGGCGGCCGUAACUAUAACGGUCCUAAGGUAGCGAAAUUCCUUGUCGGGU